AUUAUUAUGCACAGCUGGAAUUGAUGGAAACUCUUCCUUCUUCAAACUUCAUCUGAAAAAGAAAAGAGAAAGAACACCGUCUCUUCUCUUCUCUUCUCUUCUCUUCUUCUUCAUCAAGAUCUGGCAUAGUUCUGAGUUGAAAGGAAAUGGAUAUAGCUAGAACCAUCAACGUAUUCCUCGCCAACUUAUUCCGCAACUCAACUCCAAUUCCAAAGGAUGGAAGCAGAAUUAAGAUAUCUCCGGAGAAGUCUCAGCAAUGAUGAUGAAAGCGAUGAGUGAAGCUGGGGCCCUGAACUUGACUGGUGACGAUAAAAUAUUUUCUCAACAACAAAAUGAAGGUACCUGAUUACAUGGGCGGAUCCAAGAACUGAUCAUCGUGGGGUCGGGCAAGAUAAGGAAUUUACUACAAUCUUUUGUUGCGCGCGAUGAAAACAACUCAAAUUUUUUUUAUUUGAAAUAAUAUCAUACUCC